rnacentral:misc_RNA from 1 species
GAGUUCAUGCCCUUCGGGGUAGACCUCCCACCCUUUGUAUACCUUGCCUUUGUUGCUUUGGCGGGCCGCCUUUUGGCCACCGGCCCCGGCUGGUGCGCGCCCGCCAGAGAACCCCAAACCCUGUCUUACAGUGUCGUCCGAGUACUAUAUAAUAGUUAAAACUUUCAACAACGGAUCUCUUGGUUCU